CCCUUAGAUGUUCUGGGCCGCACGCGCGCUACACUGAUCAGUGCAACAAGCAUCCGUCCUUGGCCGACAGGCCCGGGCAAUCUUUGAACGCUGAUCGUGAUGGGGAUAGACUUUUGCAAUUUUUGGUCUUCAACGAGGAAUUCCUAGUAAACGCAAGUCAUCAACUUGCAUUGAUUACGUCCCUGCCCUUUGUACACACCGCCCGUCGCACCUACCGAUUGAGUGAUCCGGUGAAUAAUUCGGACUGAUGCAAUAUUCAGCUCCUGGACGUUGCGUUGGAAAGUUUAGUGAACCUUAUCACUUAGAGGAAGGAGAAGUCGUAACA
rnacentral:rRNA from 1 species